UACGUAGGUGACCAGCGUUGUCCGGAUUUACUGGGCGUAAAGAGCGCGCAGGCGGUCGUUCAAGUCGAGUGUGAAAGCCCCCGGCUCAACUGGGGAGGGUCAUUCGAUACUGAUCGACUUGAAGGCAGGAGAGGGAAGCGGAAUUCCCGGUGUAGUGGUGAAAUGCGUAGAUAUCGGGAGGAACACCAGUGGCGAAGGCGGCUUCCUGGCCUGUUCUUGACGCUGAGGCGCGAAGGCCAGGGGAGCAAACGGG
rnacentral:rRNA from 1 species